rnacentral:rRNA from 1 species
UGCGUAGGGAACCCGGGUGAAAGCCUGGGGUGCCCCGCGAGGGGAGCCCUAGCACAGGUGCUGCAUGGCCGUCGUCAGCUCGUGCCGUGAGGUGUUGGGUUAAGUCCCGCAACGAGCGCAACCCCCGCCGUUAGUUGCCAGCGGUUCGGCCGGGCACUCUAACGGGACUGCCCGCGAAAGCGGGAGGAGGAGGGGACGACGUCUGGUCAGCAUGGCCCUUACGGCCUGGGCGACACACGUGCUACAAUGCCCACUACAAAGCGAUGCCACCCGGCAACGGGGAGCUAAUCGCAAAAAGGUGGGCCCAGUUCGGAUUGGGGUCUGCAACCCGACCCCAUGAAGCCGGAAUCGCUAGUAAUCGCGGAUCAGCCAUGCCGCGGUGAAUACGUUCCCGGGCCUU